GUCUAUAUAAUUUAAAUAAAAUAUUGAUCUUGUAAAUCAACUAUGCAUAAUUGCUGUAGACU
rnacentral:tRNA from 1 species